UGAUCGGCGAGGGCUGUGGUUGCGUGCUCAGCCCCAGGAUAGUAAGGGUGACUUCCCAGCUUUUGGUGACAGCCUAACACUUCGGGGCCCUGGGCCGGUUGGAUUCUUUGUUUCGUCUCUCGGCUUUAGCUUUACAUAGGGUAAGUCACGGAGGGGCUACAAUUACCCACUGCAGGGCCCCAUCCUUUAUUUCUGAGAGCGACCUCGUUCUGGCGGAGCCAUUUGUCCCUUAGCUCUCGCCGUAGCAGCCGCCGCCCAUCCCUCUUUGUGUGCACUAGGAAUCCGCCCGAGCUUGUGGUGGCUACAGUUGGCGUUGGGGCUUAGACUAGGGACGUUGCCGGGAAGUUGUAGAAGGGACGACUCUUCCCCAUCCCGCCACCUGACAGGUGAGUUGAUGGUUCUUUCCUCAAGGCCCGUGUGCCUGCUGUGUCCCAAGUCUGAACUCGCCAGGUGGCUUAGCAGUUCCUGCUGACAGCGCCGGCCCGGCUUCUGGGAGGAAAGGCCGGGGGAACGCGGGCCGUGACUCAGGCGGUCUGGGGAGAGGAGUCAGCUCUUUUCUCUUUUUGACCCUCCAGGGGCAUCUCGGGGCGCUUUGAGCUUGUCUGGCGCCCCCUGGCCCUUCCCCGGACGCCCUAGCCUGGACCGCGCCCUCUUGGCCAUAAGCCCAGGAGGAAGGGAAUUCCUUUUCGCCUUGCUCCAUUUUACGAAUAAAGGUCGUUGCUGCUUGCUUGCAUAGCGUUUCUAUUCACCUUGUAUAUGUUGGAAAGUCUCUGAACGCAGAGGGUUGUAGCACAAAAUUCUAGAGACACUCUUUUCCCUUAGAGUUUUAAGAAAAUGAAACGUGUCCGUCAUGGAGCAGAGGCUCUGGGCUCUCUGAGGAUGGGAGGGCCGGUCCGCUGUGGCUCAGCCUGACAAACUCUUAGUAUUUGACCAAAAAUGCACUUACUUCAACAUGCAUAUUUGUAUUGGCAUCUCGUUGACGCUGAGCAAAAAUAAUUAACAAAAAAUUAGGCGUCGUGCCUGGCAUACAGAGUUAUGAAUGGAAUUUCUCUCCAGCUUAUUAAGAUGAAGCUUUUUAUCGGUCAGAAAAGGAGGAAGAUCCACAGGUCUCUUGUGGGCCAUUCGUUUUAGUUUGUUUGAAUGAAUCAUGGUAAAUAUUACAUGCGUAUUUAAGGGUCUACUGUGUCAACUUUUCACCGUUUUUAUAUACUUGAAAAUUCAUCUCUCUUUUUGGUCUUUUGAAAUUUCAUUUAUGCAUUUAUUACUAGAGGGAAUUGCGCCUUAACCAACUUAACCUUUAUUCAGAUUUAAUAACUGUUUUUUAAGAGAUUCCUCCCAAAAAGUUUUCCAGAGGUUAUGCUCCCACUUUUCUUGAUCUUAAAGCAUUUAAUAUUUCUGUUAUACAGAGACAUUGACAGCUUGAUCAUUAUGUUAAAUCAGUAAUAUAGAGAAGGCAACAAGUUCCUGGCUUCUACCUUAUGCUCAGCCCCUAGGUUACUUUUUUGCAGUUCAGAAAAAUUCAAAUCAUGCUUCCUAAAACUGAAGGCCAAGUAGUGCACAUGUAAUUUUUUGAAGAUAUUUGUAACUCUGAUUAUCUUACCUAUUACUCAUUUAUCCAGUGUCGAUUUAAUGUUAAAGUCACUCUGCUGGAAGCUAUGAAGAUAUCAAAAAUGACUAAAACAUAGUCUCUGAUUUCAAAUACCUUACACUCUAAUAUGGAGCAUUUUAAGUAUGUUCACAGAUAAUUGUUCAAAAAGUGCCAUAUGAUAUGUAGAGAGAUUUGAUUUGAUAAUGCUGGUAGCUUGUGUUUUGUUUGUCUUUAAUAGUACUACUUUUAGAAUUUAUAGGAAUCUCCUGUUUUCCCUUCCAUUGUUUCUAGGAACAAAAGCAAGACUUAUAGUUUUCAUCUAUGUUAUACAGCUUAAGAUCCUCUCUACCUCUUAAUGCCAUCCCACAAUGUCUGUUCUAAGUGCUAAUUUUGACCUUUAUCUCCAGUGACUUAAUAUAUUGUCAUCAAAAAAUAAGACAAUGUGUUAAAUUUGGGAACAUGAACAUUAAGACAUUUACUGUGUGCCAGCUAUUGUGCUCAGCACAGGGUAGUAUUUCUUACAUACAUGUGUUUAUAAUUUUUCUCAAGUCUUAGUAUAAAGUCUGCUGCUUUUACCAAGGUAAUGAUUAUUGUAAAUAAUUAUAUGCUUCUUAAGGUCACAAACAUGUCGGACAAAAGUGAAUUAAAGGCUGAAUUGGAACGUAAGAAACAGCGAUUGGCCCAAAUCAGAGAGGAAAAGAAGAGAAAAGAAGAAGAAAGGAAAAAAAAAGAAGUAUGUUUGACUU
rnacentral:lncRNA from 1 species